rnacentral:rRNA from 1 species
UACGGAGGGUGCAAGCGUUAUCCGGAUUUACUGGGUUUAAAGGGUGCGUAGGUGGGUCUGUAAGUCAGUGGUGAAAUCUUCAAGCUUAACUUGGAAACUGCCAUUGAUACUAUAGGUCUUGAAUUAUCUGGAGGUAAGCGGAAUAUGUCAUGUAGCGGUGAAAUGCGUAGAUAUCGGAAGGAACAUCAGUGGCGAAAGCGACUUCCUGGACCAGUACCGACGUUCAGGCACGAAAGCGUGGGGAGCAAACAGG